rnacentral:rRNA from 1 species
CCUACGGGUGGCAGCAGUGAGGAAUAUUGGUCAAUGGGCGGGAGCCUGAACCAGCCAAGCCGCGUGAAGGAAGAAGGCGCCAAGCGUCGUAAACUUCUUUUGUCGGGGAACAAAGGGCGCCACGUGUGGCGUUGUGAGUGUACCCGAAGAAAAAGCAUCGGCUAACUCCGUGCCAGCAGCCGCGGUAAUACGGGGGAUGCGAGCGUUAUCCGGAUUUAUUGGGUUUAAAGGGUGCGUAGGCGGUCCGGAAAGUCAGCGGUAAAAGCCCGGGGCUAAACCCCGCCGAGCCGUUGAGACUGGCGGACUAGAGGCGGCGAGAGGUACGCGGAAUGCGGGGUGUAGUGGUGAAAUGCAUAGAUAUCGCGCAGAACUCCGAUUGCGAAGGCAGCGUACCGGCGCCGGACUGACGCUGAUGCACGAAAGCGUGGGUAGCGAACAGGAUUAGAUACCCGUGUAGUC